rnacentral:lncRNA from 1 species
UCAAUCACCAAUCUUUUAUUACUAUCUGUAAACAUAUGUUAUGCCCCAAAGAAAGACUAUAGGUACAAAAUUGACACCUUAAUUUUGAGCACUAAUAACUCUUUUAUAAAAACUCCAAAUCAUAAAAAAUUUAUAUCCAAUUUGUAUACAAAAUCUUAAACUUGUUGAUCCUAGCCUCCAAAGCUCAAAUGACUUUGAAAGAAAAAUCCUAAUCCCUAAUAAGGCCUCGGGUUGUCUCCUUGAAGCCCAUUGAGCAUGGCCUUCGACCAAUAAGAAUGAAGAUUCCCAUUCUUUGCCUUCAUCCAACCAUACCUUGCUUUCAUUCCUCUCAAUAAGCCUCAUACUAGUUAAGAUUUUCUUCUUUAGGUUCUUAUCUCUUCUCAAGGCUUCAUAUUAGACAUUUAUGUCUUAUAAUUUUUUUAAAUAUUAUAAUCAAAAAAGAUAAAAUUCAAAAUAAAGUUUCUUAUAUCUAUUUUUUUUAAAAUUAAUCUAUUAAUCAUUCUAACAUACACCAAGACUUAUAAACAUAUUAUAUGUUCUAACUAAUUUUUACAUACUAUAAAAAAUUACAAUACAACAUCCACCCCCUCCAAACAUGCACAUCCUCUGAUAUGUGCCAAUCUUACCAUCUCUGUUUUCUUCAUCUUCAUCUCUUUUUGCAUCUUCUUCUUAGUUUAAAUAUAGUAUUUUAAAAUUUGAAAGAUUAUUUGGAACAAAUCUACCAUCUCUUCUUUUAAAUGCCUUGAUCUAUUUUCUAGCUAUAGAUAAUUUCAACAUCACACCAUCCAUCUCAUGAAAUAUAUAUGUUUCAUUGUGUUGCAUUGUUGCAACUAUAUAUGAUUUAAAUUAUCUUCAAGUAAAUUUCUUCUAUAUAUUAUAUUGCUGUUUUAAAAUACCAUUAAAAAUCUUCAUUCACAUAUCUCCUAUAUUAUUUGAAACUUUCAAUAUCUAUUUCUGAUUGAUAUCAAUAGACCAUUUCUCUCUAUCAAAAAGUCUUCUAGAUAUGAUUUUUUUUCUCAAAGUCAUGAACAAUCAAAGCUAAAAUCAUAUCUUCAAGCUCUCCAAGCUUGACCUUUGUCCAAAAUAAAUGAUAAUAAUCCACCUUCCCUUCUUUACUACACUCAAAGUUGUAGUUAUCAGCACAAAUAAG